CGCGAGGGACACGCAGCGCUGCCGGUACUCCGCCUGGGGAUAGAGUGGAGCGGUGUUGUAGGCGCGCUCUCCACGCAGACCCGGGGAAAUGCGCAGCGCUCCAGCAAAGGCUCGCAGACCCGGCCCCGCGUGCGGGCGGGUAGCGUGCUAGACCGUGGAGUCCGAGACUGAGGCACUUAGGGUUCGUCUGGGAUUGACCGAGAAGUUUCUUCAGACAUCGCUUCCUCUGAGAAGCCCGCCCCUUAGACUAGGCGACCGCUCCCUUCCCCAGAAUUGCCUCUGUCCGUGCAGGGUUCACUGUGUUUUGGAAGCUCCCGGUGGCGCACCUGCAGCCCCCACUGCUCCUUGGGCCCGGGAGUGCCCUCCUGGUCCCCAGCGCGCGGGCCAGCUGGUGUUCUUUAAAUAUUUGUCCAGUGAUUAAUGCCUGAACUCGAUUUUGGCGGGAGGUGGGUAAAAGGAAAGACCUGAGGUGGGGUUGAGGGUGUUCUUAAGAGGAGUGCCACAGGCAGGUGUGCAUUCAAAAGGCAGGCCAUUGCCGAUCAGGGAGGGGGUCCUCAGAGACCCCCAGAACUGGGACAAUAAGGGGAUGAAGGCAGAGCCAGGAAAUCGAUCCCAGAAAGCAAGGAGUUUUUGGAGAGAAGGGCAGCCACUCUUCCCUGCCUUUACUUAGUUGGUUCCCUUCGCUCUGAACGAAGGUCAUUCCCAUUUCUCUGUCUGUGGGAAUCCUGACCAGGGCACCUCUUCAAGGAAGCUCUCCUGGUUUCCCUAAUCACAGUUCCGUCUGCUCUCUCUCUCGACCCCCUGGACACACUUGUCGGGCCCAUGGCUGUAAGGACAGUGAACUCAGGUAUGAGGUGAGGGUUCUUGGUAUUGUGUAGAAGCCCAGAAGAACCUGGGGAGAGGGGAAGCUAAUGUGCUAGCCCCUGCCUGCCACUGGCCUUGGCCUGUUCAGUCCGUCUCUCCUGCCAAACUCACCACUCCCUGCCCAGUCCAAUCUCUAGACCUGAAUGACUGCUGGAUGGGUUCCUGUGCAGCCACUUGGUGAAAAGCAGAGUGCCCAAUGGUAGGGCAAAAAAGAAAAAGACCUGUAAGCUCACCAUGCAGCUGGAUGGACUUCGAGUGCCACUGAGCGCCUCCUCAGACUUCUGCUUCUCUUAAUCCCCAGCUAUAGGAUGAGGCUCCCAAGCAGGGUGACAGGAACCCAGGCCAGUACUCUACCAGCCCCAUCCAGACCACACGCACAGGACAGCUUCCGGGAGCCUCACCCAGGUGAAGAACGCUGCCAUGGUGGUCCACACCUCCCUGGGAAUUCCCUUUGCCAAGCCACCUCUAGGGCCACUGCAGUUUGUGCCCCUAGAGCCCCCAGAAUCUUGGAGUGGUGUAAAGGAUGGAACCUCCCACCCAGACAAGUGUCUCCAGGACGUCGCUGGCAUGGAUUCAGUGUCUCAGAAACUAAUGAAUAGGACCCUGCCUUCCACCUCCAUGUCUGAAGACUGCUGCACGUCAACAUCUACACACUGCCCAUACCCACAAGGCUUCCGGCCUGCCUGGGAGUGCCAGACCAUAGCUGGCUGAGGGGUGAUGGUGUGGAUCCGUGGUGGUGGGCUUGUGAUUGGCAUGGCUUCCAUUGUGAUGGUUGUGGACUGGCGGCCUUGGAGGACGUGAUGGUGGUUGUUAUCCAGUACUGCCUGGGCGUGCUGGGCUUCUUCAGCCCUUCAAGAUCAUCUCCAGCCUAGUGCAUAGGAUCUUCCUGCCCAGGCACCCCCAGGAGCUGGUGGCCUCUGAAGACUUUCGCCCCAUCCUCAGCAUCAUUGGUAUCACCACUGAGGAGUACUGUUGGA